GGCGUGCUUAACACAUGCAAGUCGAGCGGUAAGGCCCUUCGGGGUACACGAGCGGCGAACGGGUGAGUAACACGUGGGUGAUCUGCCUCGUACUCUGGGAUAAGCCUGGGAAACUGGGUCUAAUACCGGAUAUGACCACGAAUCGCAUGGUUUGUGGUGGAAAGAUUUAUCGGUGCGAGAUGGGCCCGCGGCCUAUCAGCUUGUUGGUGGGGUAAUGGCCUACCAAGGCGACGACGGGUAGCCGACCUGAGAGGGUGACCGGCCACACUGGGACUGAGACACGGCCCAGACUCCUACGGGAGGCAGCAGUGGGGAAUAUUGCACAAUGGGCGAAAGCCUGAUGCAGCGACGCCGCGUGAGGGAUGACGGCCUUCGGGUUGUAAACCUCUUUCGACAGGGACGAAGCGCAAGUGACGGUACCUGUAGAAGAAGCACCGGCCAACUACGUGCCAGCA
rnacentral:rRNA from 1 species